rnacentral:piRNA from 1 species
UGACAUGUCCCUGCAGUUGGCUGCCUUC